rnacentral:rRNA from 1 species
UAAUACCGGCGGCCCGAGUGGUGGCCGCCAUUAUUGGGCCUAAAGCGUCCGUAGCCGGGCCCGUAAGUCCCUGGCGAAAUCCCACGGCUCAACCGUGGGGCUUGCUGGGGAUACUGCGGGCCUUGGGACCGGGAGAGGCCGGGGGUACCCCUGGGGUAGGGGUGAAAUCCUAUAAUCCCAGGGGGACCGCCAGUGGCGAAGGCGCCCGGCUGGAACGGGUCCGACGGUGAGGGACGAAGGCCAGGGGAGCGAACCGGAUUAGAUACCCGGGUAGUCCUGGCUGUAAAGGAUGCGGGCUAGGUGUCGGGCGAGCUUCGAGCUCGCCCGGUGCCGGAGGGAAGCCGUUAAGCCCGCCGCCUGGGGAGUACGGCCGCAGGGCUG